rnacentral:rRNA from 1 species
AGAAUCAACGCUGGCGGCGUGCCUAACACAUGCAAGUCGCACGAGAAAGGGUAGCAAUACCUGAGUACAGUGGCGCACGGGUGAGUAACACGUGAAUAAUCUACCUCCGAGUGGGGAAUAACUGAGAGAAAUCUUAGCUAAUACCGCAUAAUACCCACGGGUCAAAGCAGCAAUGCGCUUGGAGAGGAGUUCGCGGCAGAUUAGUUAGUUGGCGGGGUAAUGGCCCACCAAGACGAUGAUCUGUAUCCGGCCUGAGAGGGCGCACGGACACACUGGAACUGAAACACGGUCCAGACUCCUACGGGAGGCAGCAGUGGGGAAUUUUGCGCAAUGGGGGAAACCCUGACGCAGCAACGCCGCGUGGAGGAUGAAGCCCCUUGGGUGUAAACUCCUUCGAUCGGGAAGAUAAUGACGGUACCGAUAUAAGAAGCCCGGCUAACUUCGCGCCAGCAGCCGC